rnacentral:misc_RNA from 1 species
UCGAAGUUCCAUCUACAAAUGGAUAAUACUUCGGUCUUAGUGUAUACGAGUCGUUGAAAGAGCAAUACCAAACUUCUUGGUAGAACAAGAAGUUUGGUAUUGCUCUGUUUGAUUCAGUAGUUUUUUAUUUAGAUAAGCAUUUUUCCAUUUUCAUUUGAUUUUUGUUUUCUAAAAAAAUUUGUAUUAUUUUUCAGGAUUGAGAUUUUAUGCCCAAUAUCUGUAUUUCWGUAUGAAGGAAAGUAAGAAAGAUUAAAUACAAUAAUAAUGAAUGGUGAAAAUGGAGUCCUUUUGAGAGAGAGAGGAGGGGCGGAUGUAGCCAAGUGGAUCAAGGCAGUGGAUUGUGAAUCCACCAUGCGCG